UACGUAGGGUGCAAGCGUUAAUCGGAAUUACUGGGCGUAAAGCGUGCGCAGGCGGUCGUGCAAGACAGAUGUGAAAUCCCCGGGCUUAACCUGGGAACUGCAUUUGUGACUGCACGGCUGGAGUGCGGCAGAGGGGGAUGGAAUUCCGCGUGUAGCAGUGAAAUGCGUAGAUAUGCGGAGGAACACCGAUGGCGAAGGCAAUCCCCUGGGCCUGCACUGACGCUCAUGCACGAAAGCGUGGGGAGCGAACAGG
rnacentral:rRNA from 1 species